CUGUCCCUGGCUUCGCGCGCCUCUCCUGGGCUGCCGUCUCCCAACCAAUCGGCUGUGCUCUCUGCUACGUGUGGCGUCACACGUAGUGGCCAAGAUGGCGCCGGCGGUUCGAGCGGUGGCUUUGCUGCGACCUUUAGCGAGGUUAGGGACCAUGGGAGAGCAGCUUUGCUCCUGAAGUGCCGUCGAGGAUUAGGAUCGAGUCUCUUCGAUCCCGAGGGCAAUUAUUAGCGGCGUCUAGCCCCCUAGACGGCAUCUCGAGAGGGAAUCCACCGUGCGAGAAUUGAUAAAGAGGUCAUCGCAGGUGUCCGUAGCCGAUUUGCGGGUUACGGAGUUGCGAGUAGAGAAGGGGAAAUCCGAGCGUUCUCGACCUGGGUUUCCUCCACGUGUGAAGUGGGAAUGGUAGUGAUAUUUUGUGCUAUCUCUGUCAAGGGCAAGAAGGAGAAGGAAUUUAUUUGAGGCCCUACGACGUGAAGCCAAUCCUAGCAGCCAAGCACACUCAGAAGCUGUAAAGGGGCUACAGAGGAGGAGCUGAUGGAGACGUCUACAGAAGGCUGUGGAUCCACUGCACAUGUCUGGUGCUGGUUUGGACUACUAUUGGUCAGCAGGGUCAGCAGUCAGGAAGAGCUGGAUAUGGAGUGGAGGAGAGUGAACCUGCUGGUGCCUUCUCAAUUGUUGCUGUAAGGAACACCCAUGACCUUCGGAGAGCAAUGGCUGCCGAUUCACUUCUGCCUCCCAGAUCUCAAGCAACUGUCACGCUUAACUGACUUUAACCUAGAACCAUACAGUUGCAGCUUAACCAAGCUGACACACAUACAUUUCCUCCAUAACCAUAAAGUGAUUUCUGUCUUCUCCCAGUUUCCUACAGUGGAAAAAAAUUGGACUUGAUUUGCUGUAUAAAGAAUGAUGACUUCACUGGGCCACCUUACUUUUGUAAAACCUUGUAAUGCUCACAGACCGUCAAGCAGGAAUGUGCUGGGUGUGCUAGUCUUAAAGAAGGUGUAGGAGACAUGCACGUGUCUGUCCAGAGAUUGUCAAACUGAGGCCAACACUGACUCUCAGAGCCUCAAGUAAGUGAUGAAUCAAGUAGAAAGAAAUUGGGAGGACACAAAAAAGAGCUUGUCAGGGGCCACAGGCAGUUAAUGGUGAGAGUUCUCUGCAACCAGUGACAGCAUAGAGGAAAUGCAGCACAACCGCCAAGUCCAGGUUCUGGGGCCUAAAGACCAGAGCCACUCCCUGUACUCAUGCAGAACAGUCCAGCUUCUCAGUAAGAGGGUUGCUGGGUCCUUCAGACUCGUUCCUGCUUCCCCCCACCCCACCCUCACAUCCUGGGACUGCACUGCACUUCCACUAAUCUGAACCCUCCUGGCCUCCCAGAGUCUUGAACUGCUGCUUCUGAGCUCCGUGUAGCUGGUGAAAGGAGGCUGCCUUGGCCUCCUUGGGGGCCUCCUGUCUUCAGUGAUGAUUCUCUGCAGCUUAGCUCUGGCAGUCUUACCUCCUCUCCCCAUGUAAUGGAUCCCAGUCCUCUGGUUCUGUCAGCACCUCUGCUGUGUACACUAUGACAUGUGUGAGCUCCCAGCUGGGUGGGAACCCUAGGGAGGUGUGAGUUUCCUCCCAAGCCAUUGAAGUUGCCUUUCUGCAGUAAGGUCUGCUGGUCUUAGAAAAAGUGCUUUCACUAUAUGGUCAGAGAGAAGGGAUCCCCUAAGCCUUCAUAUUGAUCUCUCUGCUCCUCCAUCUUUUCCUACCUCAAUUCUGCUUGUACCUGUAGAAUAACUAUAUAUUAAAACAUAAUGCUAAAUAUGUCAUGUUUCUUAUCAAAAGUCUUGAGCAGCUCCUCAUUUCCUACCAAAUUCAAACCAAAUUAUCUGCCCUGGCUGGUUGGACGUGUCCCAGGCUGACCCCAAAAUGCUAUUUUCUAGGCUUAUCUCCCACUACAAAUAACAAAUGCUGCCAGGCACGGUAGCUCAUGCCUGUAAUCCCAAUAUUUUGGGAGGCUGAGACGGGUGGAUCACCU